GUCCCUCUGGCUCUGAGAACUUGACUUUGUAGUGAGCUCACGCAUGUCACUCUGUCACCUAGGGAAAGUGUGGAGAGUUUGAUCCAGAAGCAUUCUUAUGCCCGCUCGCCCAUCCGUACCUAUGGAGGAGAAGAGGACGUGCUGGGGGAAGAGAGCCAGACAACCUCAAAUCGAGGGUCAGCCUUUACCACAUCUGACAACUUGUCGCUCAGCUCCUGGGUAUCAUCUUCUUCCAGUUUUCCUGGAUUUCAGCACCCACAAUCCCUCACCGCUCUUGGCACCAGCACAGCAUCCAUAGCGACACCCAUUCCACACCCCAUACAGGGUUCUCUGCCACCCUACAGCCGCCUGGGAAUGCCACUGACCCCAUCCGCCAUUGCCACCUCCAUGCAGGGGAGUGGCCCUACCUUCCCUUCCUUCCACAUGCCGAGGUACCAUCACUAUUUCCAGCAAGGGCCCUAUGCUGCCAUCCAAGGACUGCGCCAUUCCUCCGCCGUGAUGACACCGUUUGUAUGACUCUUUCAGAGGUGGAGCAUUUGGAUCCAGA
rnacentral:lncRNA from 1 species